UGGGUGAAUGGUCAAUGUCUUGC
rnacentral:piRNA from 1 species